GGGUUGUGAGGUUAAGCGACUAAGCGUACACGGUGGAUGCCCUGGCAGUCAGAGGCGAUGAAGGACGUGCUAAUCUGCGAUAAGCGUCGGUAAGGUGAUAUGAACCGUUAUAACCGGCGAUUUCCGAAUGGGGAAACCCAGUGUGUUUCGACACACUAUCAUUAACUGAAUCCAUAGGUUAAUGAGGCGAACCGGGGGAACUGAAACAUCUAAGUACCCCGAGGAAAAGAAAUCAACCGAGAUUCCCCCAGUAGCGGCGAGCGAACGGGGAGCAGCCCAGAGCCUGAAUCAGUAUGUGUGUUAGUGGAAGCGUCUGGAAAGGCGCGCGAUACAGGGUGACAGCCCCGUACACAAAAAUGCACAUGCUGUGAGCUCGAUGAGUAGGGCGGGACACGUGGUAUCCUGUCUGAAUAUGGGGGGACCAUCCUCCAAGGCUAAAUACUCCUGACUGACCGAUAGUGAACCAGUACCGUGAGGGAAAGGCGAAAAGAACCCCGGCGAGGGGAGUGAAAAAGAACCUGAAACCGUGUACGUACAAGCAGUGGGAGCACGCUUAGGCGUGUGACUGCGUACCUUUUGUAUAAUGGGUCAGCGACUUAUAUUCUGUAGCAAGGUUAACCGAAUAGGGGAGCCGAAGGGAAACCGAGUCUUAACUGGGCGUUAAGUUGCAGGGUAUAGACCCGAAACCCGGUGAUCUAGCCAUGGGCAGGUUGAAGGUUGGGUAACACUAACUGGAGGACCGAACCGACUAAUGUUGAAAAAUUAGCGGAUGACUUGUGGCUGGGGGUGAAAGGCCAAUCAAACCGGGAGAUAGCUGGUUCUCCCCGAAAGCUAUUUAGGUAGCGCCUCGUGAAUUCAUCUCCGGGGGUAGAGCACUGUUUCGGCAAGGGGGUCAUCCCGACUUACCAACCCGAUGCAAACUGCGAAUACCGGAGAAUGUUAUCACGGGAGACACACGGCGGGUGCUAACGUCCGUCGUGAAGAGGGAAACAACCCAGACCGCCAGCUAAGGUCCCAAAGUCAUGGUUAAGUGGGAAACGAUGUGGGAAGGCCCAGACAGCCAGGAUGUUGGCUUAGAAGCAGCCAUCAUUUAAAGAAAGCGUAAUAGCUCACUGGUCGAGUCGGCCUGCGCGGAAGAUGUAACGGGGCUAAACCAUGCACCGAAGCUGCGGCAGCGACACUAUGUGUUGUUGGGUAGGGGAGCGUUCUGUAAGCCUGUGAAGGUGUGCUGUGAGGCAUGCUGGAGGUAUCAGAAGUGCGAAUGCUGACAUAAGUAACGAUAAAGCGGGUGAAAAGCCCGCUCGCCGGAAGACCAAGGGUUCCUGUCCAACGUUAAUCGGGGCAGGGUGAGUCGACCCCUAAGGCGAGGCCGAAAGGCGUAGUCGAUGGGAAACAGGUUAAUAUUCCUGUACUUGGUGUUACUGCGAAGGGGGGACGGAGAAGGCUAUGUUGGCCGGGCGACGGUUGUCCCGGUUUAAGCGUGUAGGCUGGUUUUCCAGGCAAAUCCGGAAAAUCAAGGCUGAGGCGUGAUGACGAGGCACUACGGUGCUGAAGCAACAAAUGCCCUGCUUCCAGGAAAAGCCUCUAAGCAUCAGGUAACAUCAAAUCGUACCCCAAACCGACACAGGUGGUCAGGUAGAGAAUACCAAGGCGCUUGAGAGAACUCGGGUGAAGGAACUAGGCAAAAUGGUGCCGUAACUUCGGGAGAA
rnacentral:rRNA from 1 species